AUGAUUCAGAAUCAGAGCGGGAAAAAGUCAAUUUCACUGGCAACAUGAAAGAAGUUGCUACUGGUUUAUAAAAUAAGAAGCCUUUGAGUGAGAGAGAACGAGAAAUACCACCCAACAUUCCCUCGACAACUUCACAACCACAAAUAUCAUCACAAACUACACAAGACCUGCUUUUGCCACCAUCUCCACCACAACUACCACCACCUGCACAAACACUAACUAUGGAAGCAGCUCAAACUUUAGCAACUGCAGAUGCCUUAGACAAAUAUCAUCACAAAAUAUAGAAGACUCGCUUUUGCCACCAUCUCCACCACCACUUGCACAAACACCACCUAUUGCAACAGCUCAAACUUCAGAAAUUGAAGUGGUCAUCCUAAAAAAUGAGGAAACGAAGAGAAUGAAAAAUGAUAGAAAAUAUGCAUGGGUAGACAAAUAUUUGGAAGAUUUUCUAUGCAAUCGAAGAACAGCACUUUGGCUACAAGAUGUGGUUAAAGCAGAAGAAUGCGGUCACUUCAUUUUUUAAGGCCUGCCAGGAGUGGGAAAGAAAACUAUGAUUUGGGCUUUGCUUAGAGAAGCCUUUGGAGCCAACAACGUACAGGAAUGGACUUUGUAAUCCAAAGUGUCUCCAGGUGCUAUAAAACUCAGUAAAAUUCUUUUGAAUAUCCUGGAUUGAUGUCCAAGCAACAUUUUCCAUGAAUUUUAGAGAUUGAUAUAGUUUUAUUUAUUAUCAACAGGCAAGGGAAGAGUGCAGGGGAUUUUAUUUGAAGUGACGUCUCAAGGCUGGAGCCUGUAAAGUCACUAUGCACUGUGGUUCAACUCUUCCCACCUUCCAUUGAAGAGGAUUUUUGAAAUUCAUGCAAACAAAGAAGAAAUACAUUCACCUCACCAGUUGGCGGUUAAGUUUGCUAACAGCUCCAACAAUAACCUGAGACAAGCCAUACACUCAUUUGAAGCUACCUGGCACUUCAAUUCAUCCUUGACUGAAGAUCAAGCUAUCAAGACUGGGUGGGAAGAGAAAAUUGCAAAUCUCGCUAGAAAGAUAAUACAAGAACAAACCCCAAGGCAACCCUUAUUGAAGAACUGAAGAAGAAUCCUAAUGAAUACUUGCAGCAGCUACUUGGCAAUUUGUGUGAUGAAUACAAUAGAAAUCAUGAAGCUGAGAAGCUCGUGGCCUCUGCAUGUGCAUAGGAUCAGCAAGUGGAACUUAGUCAAUGACAAACUGAUUCUUGAAAGAAUGUGGAACAAUUUAUGAGGAUUGAAGUACAUAAAAGACACAAGGACAUGAAGAAUGCUUGAGUUUUUGACAAAUUCUCCAAAAGUACGAACUUAAUUCGAGGGGUGCAAAGUACUUACAUUCAAAGUCUCCAUUCUGAAAGAGUUCAUUGCGAAAUUCAUGAGUUGGUACAAGAGCUUGGUUGUAAAGAACAAGGAGCUUUGACAAUGUGCACUCUAAGCAUGAUAUUGACAACUUGAUUUGUCUUUCUUUUAUGUUAUGAAUAUUAUUAUAGAAAAAUUUCUUUUCUUUGCAAUCAAGUUUUAUGUCAUAACUUGAAGAAUGCAUGUAAAGAGUUGUUAGGAAAAUGUUGUAAUUGGCAAUCUGUGACCAAAGGACCAAUUUGUCAAGUUUGUAAAGUCAAGGACUGAAUUGUAAAGGUCCAAAAAGUUCAGGGACUUGUGUUGCAAUUUUGCAAAGUUUAUAACAUAGGUCUAAGGUAAAGCUGGAUGCUUUGAAGAUGCAAACGGCGCGUUGAUCUCGCUAGAGUUUCGCCUUGACCUCGCUCGAGCCUAAAUAACAGAACUGUUGUCGCUAGAGUUUCGCUGAGGGGUCGCUCGAGCGAAGGUGUGUCGCUCGAGUUUCAUCAGCACUUCGCUCGAGCGACAGUGCUAUCUGGCUUUUGGUAAUUUUCCUUCCUCGCGAAUUUUAAACGCUCCAUACGACCAAAAACGACCUACUAUAUAAACAAAAAUUCCGUUUUUCAUUUACAACCUUUGGAAAACACACAAAUAAAAUUUUCUCUCGACAACCAAAGGAUCUAGAGCCAAAAAAUUCUUUCUUUUCAUCUCAUGCUCUAUUAGAGAAAAACAUCAACCUUUACAAAACCAAAACAUCAUUCAAAUCUCCAUAUCAACUUCCAGAAGAUUAUCUGUUUGAAGAUCCGGGAAGGAAACUGCUUGAAGAACUGGAGUGCUUGGUGAUUCACGGGAGAAAGAAGAAAUUCAAAGCUUGAAUUUUGGUGCAGAUCUGCAAAAUCCAGGAGAGCUUUGGUUGAUACAGUAAGGAGGUUAGAGUAUUGUUAGAUUCAAUUAUGUCUGGCGUACUGUAAGUCAAUAUCUUCUAUAGUGGAUCUCUACUGGCUUGUGCCCAGAGUUUUUACCCA